UGAGGCACAGGAGGGCAAGGACUCAGCAUCAGUCCUAGUCAGGACCCUCAGCUUGAAACCAGCUAGUCUCUCUUACCUGCUCUGCAAGGUCUUAGGAACCCUGUGCUGGGAUACAACAGUGGUGACCUGGCAACUGUUUCCAGGCAACUAUUACUAGGGAACUAUGACUCAGCAGCUGCCCAAAGGUCUUCUAUCUGGUGGGAGCACAGAUCACUGGAAUCCCCGUGUUCUCAGCUUGAUCCUUUGCAAAGCUGCUUGUUAAUGUUUUGAAUGGUUAAAAUGAGGUGAUCAAAGUAAAAUUUCAGAAAUCACA